UGAACAGAGGUUAUCGGUUUUAUUUGCCUGGUGUGUACAGGUGGAUAUAAAGGGGCAGUGUGGAGUGGUACAGCUCCCUGAGUUCACGGUAAUCCAGAGAAGAAUGACGUCUCUCGUGCUCCUUCUGCUGGUGGCUGUUGCCAUAAACUCUGUCACGUGUGAUCCCCUUCCUGAGGAUGGUGAUGCAAACAUUCACCAAGAGUUUGAGAAGUGGAAAUUGCAACAUGAGAAGACCUACCCGUCCACUGAGGAGGAAACCAAGCGUAAGGAGCUCUGGUUGGCAACAAGAAAGAGGGUGAUGGAACACAACCUGAAGGCAGCCGAGGGAUUGGAGAACUACACCACGACAAUGGGGAAUUAUGCUGAUUUGAGUAUUGAGGAUGUCUCACCGACGGAGGAAGAGCUGGACAAAGAGUUUGCGAUGUGGAAAACAAAACAUGGUAAAACCUAUAACUCAACUGAGGAGGAAGCCAAGCGUAGGAACAUCUGGUUCGCUACAAGGACAAGAGUGAUGGAACACAACCGGAAAGCAGCAAAUGGGUUGGCAACCUGGAUCAUGGGGCUCAAUCAUUUUUCUGACUUGACAUCCGAGGAGAGGCCUAGGCGAGGUUUUUACCCAAGGCCUCGGCCUACAAAAGAAGAUUUGGAUGAAGAAUUUGAAAGGUGGAAACUUAGACAUGGGAAGACUUAUAACUCGACCGAGGAAGAAGCCAAGCGUAAGGACAUCUGGUUAGCGACAAGGAGAAGAGUGAUGGAACACAACAAGAAAGCAGCGAAUGGUUCAGUUAGCUGGACCAUGGGGCUCAAUCAAUUUUCUGACAUGACCCAUGAAGAGAUUCCUAAGGGAGGACUUUUGCCACUGCCUCAACCUACAGAAGAAGAUGUGGACAAAGAGUUUGAAACGUGGAAAGAAAAACAUGGAAAGACCUAUGACUCCUCCGAGGAAGAAGCCAAGCGUAAGAACAUCUGGUUAGCUACAAGGAGAAGAGUGAUGGAACACAACCAGAAAGCAGCGAAUGGCUCAGUUAGUUGGACCAUGGGGCUCAAUAGCUUUUCUGACUUGCUCCAUUGAAUCUCUCUCGUUGCUUCUUCUCUCAGACCCAUGAGGAGAUUCCUAAGGGAGUACUUUUGCCAACGUUGUGAUGCCGUGAGUCCCCGUGUCACUUGCAAUAAACACAAAGUCCGCUCAUCACAUGGCUGUGUCUGUUUUUGCCUCUGUUUGGAACGCAUUUGGGAGUCGAUUAACAUAAUUAUUGUAUAUCCCAACACAGCUGUAUCCCUAAUAAAGCAGAGGAGUGCAUGCAG